AUUGAACGCUGGCGGGAUGCCUUACACAUGCAAGUCGAACGGAGUGGCGAACGGGUGAGUAAUGUAUCGGAACGUGCCCAGUAGCGGGGGAUAACUACGCGAAAGGGGCGCUAAUACCGCAUACUAUUGGAGCGGCCGAUAUCGGAUUAGCUAGUUGGUGGGGUAACGGCUUACCAAGGCGAAGAGCCGUAGCUGGUGUGAGAGGACGACCAGCAACACUGGAACUGAGACACGGCCCAGACUCCUACGGGAGGCAGCAGUGGGAACGUUUGGAAAAUGGGGGAAACCCUGAUCCAGCCAUGCCGCGUGUGCGAUGAAGGUCUUCGGGUUGUAAAGCACUUUUGGCAGGAAAGCGGUACCUGCAGAAUAAGCACCGGCUAACUACGUGCCAGCAGCCGCGGUAAUAC
rnacentral:rRNA from 1 species